GAAGUCUGACGGAGCAACGCCGCGUGAGUGAUGAAGGUUUUCGGAUCGUAAAGCUCUGUUGUUAGGGAAGAACAAGUGCCGUUCAAAUAGGGCGGCACCUUGACGGUACCUAACCAGAAAGCCACGGCUAACUACGUGCCAGCAGCCGCGGUAAUACGUAGGUGGCAAGCGUUGUCCGGAAUUAUUGGGCGUAAAGGGCUCGCAGGCGGUUUCUUAAGUCUGAUGUGAAAGCCCCCGGCUCAACCGGGGAGGGUCAUUGGAAACUGGGGAACUUGAGUGCAGAAGAGGAGAGUGGAAUUCCACGUGUAGCGGUGAAAUGCGUAGAGAUGUGGAGGAACACCAGUGGCGAAGGCGACUCUCUGGUCUGUAACUGACGCUGAGGAGCGAAAGCGUGGGGAGCGAACAGGAUUAGAUACCCUGGUAGUCCACGCCGUAAACGAUGAGUGCUAAGUGUUAGGGGGUUUCCGCCCCUUAGUGCUGCAGCUAACGCAUUAAGCACUCCGCCUGGGGAGUACGGUCGCAAGACUGAAACUCAAAGGAAUUGACGGGGGCCCGCACAAGCGGUGGAGCAUGUGGUUUAAUUCGAAGCAACGCGAAGAACCUUACCAGGUCUUGACAUCCUCUGACAAUCCUAG
rnacentral:rRNA from 1 species